rnacentral:rRNA from 1 species
CUUGACAUCCAGAGAAUUUAGCAGAGAUACUUUAGUGCCUUCGGGAACUCUGAGACAGGUGCUGCAUGGCUGUCGUCAGCUCGUGUUGUGAAAUGUUGGGUUAAGUCCCGNAACGAGCGCAACCCUUUAUCCUUUGUUGCCAGCACGUAAUGGUGGGAACUCAAAGGAGACUGCCGGUGAUAAACCGGAGGAAGGUGGGGAUGACGUCAAGUCAUCAUGGCCCUUACGAGUAGGGCUACACACGUGCUACAAUGGCGCAUACAAAGAGAAGCGACCUCGCGAGAGCAAGCGGACCUCAUAAAGUGCGUCGUAGUCCGGAUUGGAGUCUGCAACUCGACUCCAUGAAGUCGGAAUCGCUAGUAAUCGUAAAUCAGAAUGUUACGGUGAAUACGUUCCCGGGCCUUGUACACACCGCCCGUCACACCAUGGGAGUGGGUUGCAAAAGAAGUAGAUAGCUUAACCUUCGGGAGGGCGUUUACCACUUUGUGAUUCAUGACUGGGGUGAAGUCGUAACAAGGUAAGCGUAGUGCU